rnacentral:ncRNA from 1 species
UAUGACAGGCACAGCUUUGGUCCGGGGAUUCACGUCCCCGGGUAAUAGGGAAUACGGUGCGAUUCGGAUCUCGGAUCAAUUCCGUAACUGCCCCCGCAACUGUAAGCGGCGAGCGAUACCGGCAUAUGCCACUGUCCGCCAACGGACGGGAAGGCCCGGUAGAGCAGCGACCCGCAAGUCAGGAGACCUGCCAAGGUGAUCACCCUAUC